AUUGAACGCUGGCGGCAGGCCUAACACAUGCAAGUCGAGCGGGGUUUUCGGACCUAGCGGCGGACGGGUGAGUAAUGCGUAGGAAGCUACCCGAUAGAGGGGGAUACCAGUUGGAAACGACUGUUAAUACCGCAUAAUGUCUACGGACCAAAGUGUGGGACCUUCGGGCCACAUGCUAUCGGAUGCGCCUACGUGGGAUUAGCUAGUUGGUGGGGUAAUGGCUCACCAAGGCGACGAUCCCUAGCUGGUUUCAGAGGAUGAUCAGCCAGACUGGGAAGGAGACACGGUCCAGACUCCUACGGGAGGCAGCAGUGGGGAAUAUUGGACAAUGGGCGAAAGCCUGAUCCAGCCAUGCCGCGUGUGUGAAGAAGGCCUUCGGGUUGUAAAGCUCUUUCGGCCGGGAAAAAAUCGCAUGGGCUAAUACCCUGUGUGGAUGAUGGUACCGGAAUAAGAAGCACCGGCUAACUACGUGCCAGCCGCCGCCGUAACAC
rnacentral:rRNA from 1 species